rnacentral:rRNA from 1 species
UUUCUAGAAAAUGAUUUAUCUAGCAAAAUUAUUGCUACUACACGCAAUGUUGAUGUAGCAAGAUCAUGUUGUCAAGGUGGUAAUGGCCGCAUGUAUGAAAUGCAAGCCCUAAGUGAUCUCGACUCCAAAAGAUUAUUCUUCAAAAGAAUAUUUGGUUCGCAUGACUGUUGUCCUGAUGUGCUAAAACAAAUUUCAAAUACAAUAUUGAGGAAAUGUGGAGGCCUCCCAUUGGCAAUUAUCAGCAUAUCAAGUUUAUUGGCAAACAGACCGGUGGUCAAAGAUGAGUGGGAGAGAGUCAGAAGGUCCAUUGGUUCUGCAUUGGACAAAAACUGA